rnacentral:rRNA from 1 species
AUUGAACGCUGGCGGCAGGCCUAACACAUGCAAGUCGCACGAGUGGCGGACGGGUGAGUAAUGUCUGGGAAACUGCCCGAUGGAGGGGGAUAACUACUGGAAACGGUAGCUAAUACCGCAUACCAUCAGAUGUGCCCAGAUGGGAUUAGCUAGUAGGUGGGGUAUAGGCUCACCUAGGCGACGCUCCCUAGCUGGUCUGAGAGGAUGACCGGCAACACGGGAGCUGAGAAACGGUCCAGACUCCUAAGGGAGGAAGCAGUGGGGAAUAUUGCACAAUGGGCGCAAGCCUGAUGCAGCCAGGCCGCGUGUAUGAAGAAGGCCUUCGGGUUGUAAAGUACUUUCAGCGGGGAGGCGUUACCCGCAGAAGAAGCACCGGCUAACUCCGUGCCAGCCGCCGCGGUAAUAC